rnacentral:lncRNA from 10 species
GAGACGUGUUAUCAUAUAUUAUAGAGCAUGAAGCUGGACAUGAAAAGCAUUUCUGGCCAAUAAAUUGGACCCCACUCUCCACUUCUCCUUCCUUCUCAAACUGUCCAGGGAGAAGUGUGUUGAUUAGAAAUCUUUCCUAUUUCUUUACUUUUGGUUACUGUCAUCAGAGCUUGUUACUCUAAAAGCUAGAAGGUUUGUUCAGUCAAACCUUAAAGUCAGACACUGGGGAUAUUGCAGGGAUAUUGCAGGGGGAAAAAAAACCAACAAAAGUUUCCAUGUUAGUGAGGGAAGACAGAAAACAAGCAGAUAAAUUAAUAAAAAUAUAGAUGUCAAGGGAGUUAAAACUCUGAUGAGAAAAAAUAAAGCAAAGGAAAGGGAUGAAGUGUGAUAGGAGAUGUUCUUUUAGAUUUUUUUCCUAGUCUCUCUGAUUUGUUUUUCUCUGCCAUUUUUGGUUUGAGGUGGCACUCAACAUAUGGAGGGAGAAAGGGUGGAGGGAUGGAGGGAGGAGGGAAAGAGGAAGGAGGAAGGGAGGAAGUGGGGAGGGAGAAAGGAAGGAAGGAAGGAAGGAAGGAAGGAAAGAAGGAAGGAAACAUUUCU